AUAUCUCUCUGUACGGGAAGGAUGAGAAGCUUCGACUAAGGUUCGAUUCGAGCGCAGCGAGAAAGCGUUGCCAACGGCAACGACCCGAAGGGCGAAGCGCGCAGCGCUGAGUCAUCCUUCCCCCACCACCA
rnacentral:sRNA from 1 species